UCCUGUCGAUGAGCGUCCUGGUGAUGUCCUCGAUGUUGGUUAAGGCUGCUUCAUUGCCGUGGGCGUGAAUCGGGGCGCCCAGGAUAGAGACUCUUGAGGGGUGUGGGGCGGGCGACACUGAGGAAUGUGUGUGUGUGUGCUUACGUACUAAAAUGCUUUUGUCGUUCUCAGGUUCGAGGGAAGAACAAAGGCGUGGAUCAGCUCGGUGCUGAGUCUGAAAUCACCGCCACCACGCUGGGAGAACCUGGGAAAGUGACCAGUCUGCGAAUGGAAGAGGCACACGGGACUGCCCUGCUGGUGACUUGGGAUUACCCCCAGGACAGCCCCCAACAAGGGGAGCUUGAGUCCUUCAUAGUGUCCUGGGGAGUACAAGGAGAGGCCACAGGACUGAAACAACAAACAGUGGGACUACAGAAGAGAUUUCGUAUAUUGAACCUUCAACCCAACACUUCAUACACCAUCAAGGUUCGAGGGAAGAACAUAGGCGUGGAUGAACUCGGUGCUGAGUCUGAAAUCAUCGCCACCACCACGCUGGGAGAGCCUGGGAAUGUGACAAAUUUGCGAACGGAAGAGGCAAACGGGACUUCCCUGCUGGUGGCGUGGGACUACCUCCAGAACAGCCCCCUUAAUGGACAGCUUGAGUCCUUCAUAGUGUCCUGGGAUGUACAAGGAGAGGCCACAGGACGGAAACAGCAAACAGUGGGACUACACAGGAGAUUUCUUAUAAACCACCUUCAACCCAACACUACAUACACCAUCAAGAUUCGAGGAAAGACCGAAGACGUGUAUCAGCUCGGUGCUGAGUCUGAAAUCAUCGCCACCACGCUGGGAGAACCUGGGAAAGUGACCAGUCUGCGAAUGGAAGAGGCACACGGGACUGCCCUGCUGGUGACUUGUGAUUACCACCAGGACAGCCCCAACAAGGGGAGCUUGAGUCCUUCAAAGUGUCAUGGGAAGUACAAGGAGAGGCCACAGGACUGAAACAGCAAACAGUGGGACUACAGAAGAGAUUUCUUAUAAUGAACCUUCAACCCAACACUUCAUACACCAUCAAGGUUCGAGGGAAGAACAAAUUCGUGGAUCAGCUCGGUGCCGAGUCUGAAAUCAUCGCCACCACCACACUGGGAGAGCCUGGGAAUGUGACUAUUUUGCGAACGGAGGAGGCAAACGGGACUUCUUUGCUGGUGACUUGGGAUUACCACCAGGACAGCCCCCUUAACCUUAAUGGAGAGCUUGAGUCCUUCAUAGUGUCCUGGGGAGUGCAAGGAGAGGCCACAGGACGGAAACAGCAAACAGUGGGACUACACAGGAGAUUUCUUAUAAACCACCUUCAACCCAACACUUCAUACAUUAUCAAGGUUCAAGGGAAGAACAAAGGCGUGGAUCAGCUCGGUGCUGAGUCGGAAAUCAUCGCCACCACGCUGGGAGAACCUGGGAAAGUGACAAAUCUGCGAACGGAGGAGGCAAACGGGACUUCCUUGCUGGUGACUUGGGAUAACCCCCAGGACAGCCCCUCUAAAGAAGAGCUUGAGUCCUUCAAAGUGUCCUGGGUAGUACAAGGAGAGGCCACAGGACGGGAAGAGCAAACAGUAGGACUACAGAAGAGAUUUCUCAUAAACCACCUUCAACCCAACACUUCAUACACCAUCAAGGUUAGUGUGUAUUUACCUAUAUAGUUGUAUUUACCUAGUCGUGGU